GACGAACGCUGGCGGCGUGCCUAAUACAUGCAAGUCGAACGCAGUGGGGACGGGUGAGUAACACGUGGGUAACCUCCCAUCAGAGGGGAUACCACUUGGAAACAGGUGCAAAACCGAUACUGAUGGAUGGACCCGGGGGGCAUUAGCUACUUGGUGGGGGAACGGCUCACCAAGGCCACGAUGCAUCACCGGUCUGAGAGGGUGAUCGGCCACACUGGGACUGAGACACGGCCCAGACUCCUACGGGAGGCAGCAGUAGGGAAUAUUCGGCAAUGGACGAAAGUCUGACGGAGCAACGCCGCGUGAGUGAAGAAGGUUUUCGGAUCGUAAAACUCUGUUGUUGGAGAAGCGGUAUCUAACCAGAAAGCCACGGCUAACUACGUGCCAGCAGCCGCGGUAAUUC
rnacentral:rRNA from 1 species